rnacentral:lncRNA from 1 species
ACGGUUUUGUCGUGCUCACUGUUGGAGUCGAUGAAUCCUGGAGGCACGUCGAGGUUCACCACCUCCCCGACCAUGUCAGGCCAUUCUUCGAUAAGGCUCCCUUGACUAGUGAAGGUUUCGUGCACUGGGGAAGGGGGAGAUACUGCGCGACCAUGGAUGUGGAGACGGAGAUCAUUACACUGAGUGAAGCCCCUGGUCAGUACCAUGAAAGCAGGUAUACAUAUCUGUCAACUGGGAGGUGUCUGUCGCUCCUGGCUGCGUGUGGGUAUCUGUCGUGGGAGGUUUGGGAGAUGAAGGCAG